GUGACAGGAGCAGAGAGAAUCAAUCAAUACCAGAAUUUAAUUUCCCACCCAUGCCUAACUAGAGAUGUUCAUUCUGGGUAGAUAUUUUACCAGAAACUCCAUCCACCCUUUCAAAAAAGUGAAGUGAAGGGAUGUUUUGUUUCUGCAGCUUUAACAAGCACAUACACAGCAAGAAGGAAACACUUUCUUUACUUCUUGGCUGCUCUUUCCUGAACGCACACCAGCCUGAGCCCAGCCAGCUGUGGAGACACACAGCAAGGGGUGGUCUCUCCCUCUAGAAUAUGUCUCAACAGUAUGGAGGGAACAGAGACCUUAUGCAACAAUGUAAAUAAAAAUGAACACUAAAGAAAAUCCCUCUUCUCUACGCUCUUGAUCUCCACUGUCCUAAAGCAGACAUAUAAGGAGAUCAAGAGAAGGCAUUAGCCUUAGCAGCAAGAUUUCCUUUGAACUGACUAAAAUCUGAAUUGAAAGAAACUGUUGGAAUCGCUCCUUUUUUUGAGUUUGUGUAAUUGAGUUUGCUUGGAAUUCACAAAGUUACCGCGUUUAAAUAACUUAAAAUUCCUCUAGAAAAAAAAAAAGGUGUUUGGGACUUCCCUGGUGGUCCAGUGGUUAAGACUCCAAGCUUCCAUUGCAGGAGGACCAGGUUCGAUCCCUGGUUGGGGAACUAAGAUCCUGCAUGCUGUGCAGUGCAGCCACAAAUAGAAUACAAAGAAGAGAUAGAAUAAAAUAACAUAGAAAAUUCCUCUUGAACAUCAUUUACCUGGCAACUGUAAUAAGCUUUUAAUUACUUUUCCGUAGCCAGAAGCCUCAGUUCUGACACUGUAACCAAGAACACUUUUUCCAGAAGUGGGACAGGAUUCCAAGUAGAGAAUCCCACUCGCGAGUGUAGUUUGUGUUUUUUCUGUGCACGUGCUACAAGGCCAGGACUGUUGGCAGCAGCUCCCGGGCAGAGGUGACCUUCAAUGCAGAUCUUUUAGUGCUUGUUUACUAGUUGCGUUUUGAGGCACUGGAAACUCUUUAAUGGCCUGGGGAGACCAAGUCACUCUUCCUUCUCGUGGUGUGUGGCCAAGGGUUCAUUCUCCAUGUAUAAAUGGCAGCUGGGAGGGCUUGGGGAAGUGAGCAUGUUAGCCAUUCCAGUGAAGCCAAAGCUGAUGCCCAUGUCAUUGGCUCUAACUCUGCUGGGUUCCUGUCUGAGGCAAGGAUGCUCCCUGGGGAAACGGGUUCAAAUAGCUACUGGAUGAUUCAUCCCCACUGAGAUAACUUACUUCCUCUUGUGCUUCCUUUCUCCUCAGCUACCCUGCCCAGCCCUUCUGGGUCUCUUGACUCUGCAAAAGCGAAGGCUGAGUCUGUGGCCUAGGCUGCCUCAGUCCCCAGCCUGCGGUCCUCGGGGAUGACUCAGAGAAUGGCUUUCUACAGGAUGAUGCUGCUGCCACGUCCUCUCUGCGUUCAGGAUGAUCUUCUCUAGGCACGGGUUCUCUUCUCAUCUGAAUCUUCAUUAUCGUCCUAGGAGAAAAUGCUGACAAACUAAAAUUAGCAGCAACAUGGAACAUCUACUUCACUGCAUGAUCACUACUUGUAAGUUAAGAAGGAAAAUAAGAUUCUGACUAUUCUGAUGAGUACAUAGCAUUUUAAUUUUGUGUAAAAAAUUUGGGGGGGGUCACAUUCUUGGCUUUGCUGAAUAAACAAAGUCGGGAAAAGAGGGGCUGCAUGUUGAAGAAUUCACUAAGGCUUAAUGAACAAGAGCUCUUUGGGGAUGCCUUAAGAGUUUUAGUGUACCAUUAACUUUUUCAAUCCUUCAGAAAUCAAUAAUCAGGGAACUCUUCCGUAAUUUAAAUCCACGUUUCUUCCAAAGAGGGCUCAGAUUACAGCACCAUGAAAUAAUCUUACAAAGAUAUCACAGAAAUGUAUUUUUCACUAUGUGUUAACAAAACCUUUUUGUUUUUAAAUCUUGGAAGCCUGAGAGAAAUUCUGAAAAAUGAAAAAGCAGAAUAGCCAUAAAUAUUUGAAGACAUUAAAAUCUCACCAAUUAAAUUCCCCAUUACAUUUAAUAACAUAAGCUUUAAAAGAGUCACUUUAUCUAUAGGCCAAUCUACUUUACCAAUGUACUUUUUUAAUACUUUCUGUAAGCUUUUAUUAUUGUUUAUUACUAUAUUUUAUUGAGGUAUAGUUGAUUUAUAAUAUUAUAUAAAUUUCAGUGAUUCA